CAAACGAUUAUAUAAAUAGGGCAUGGAACAUCUGGUUUUAUACACAAGAAAUACAGAGCGAAAUAUUGAGAGAAAAUAAGGGUUUGUGUCUUGUGUGGUCGUGUGACUUGUAAGCCAUUCAAUUCAUCCAUAGAUGAAAUACAGAGCGAAAUAUUGAGAGAAAAUAAGGGUUUGUGUCUUGUGUGGUCGUGUGACUUGUAAGCCAUUCAAUUCAUCCAUAGAUGAUUGAAUUGGUCUGAUUUGUGAGUUGU
rnacentral:lncRNA from 1 species